rnacentral:lncRNA from 10 species
GUCUGGUUUUCUUUUAUUUGGAAAAGAAGGCACAUUCUCUCCUCUUUUGCCAUUAAUAUGAGCAAUAACUCCACCCCUCUUGAAAAGGCACUGGAUAUUCAAAUUGUUGACAUCUCUUAUGGUGAGAUCUAAGAGCACCACGCAGCCUGAGCCUCGGACUACUAGUUGCUUGCAGUAACCUCAAGCAGGUCACUUUCCCUCCCUAAAUUUCUUUAUCUGGAAAGUAGGAAAAAUAAUAGUACCUGUGGCACAGAAACUGGCUUGGAUCUGCUGAGUCCUGAGCUAAAGAGAAUAAAACCUGGUGCAGAGUGAGGGUCCCCUUCUCAACAGCAAGUUUUGUCUGGACUUGGUCUUGACAGAGGCCUGGUGGGAGCUAUGGCCUGGGCACCCAUGUGGCCCUGGAGCUGCAGAAAAUACAAGAGAUACAGGUGACCUCUAGAAGCCAGAAAAGAGACUCCUGCUGCCAUACCAUCUCUACAUGUCACCAUCUUCCUUUCCCAGAGAAACCCUUCCAAUCUGGAUGUCAGACUUGAUGGGAUCCAAGUUCGUCACACUCUUGAUGGGCUGCUGGCUGCCUCUCAGUAGCCCCAGAGCGAGGAGGGUUGAUUUAUCCUUCCCCCAAUCCACCUUGUGGCCAAGGCCAAGUCUAUCGUAACUGCAACCUAUUGUAACAAUCAGUUCUUCUAGGCUUCAUAUCUGCACUCGUAGGAAAGUGACAUGCCCCUGAAGUGAGUCUGAACUCAUCUCAGACAGCCCCA